rnacentral:rRNA from 1 species
AGAGUUUGAUCCUGGCUCAGGACGAACGCUGGCGGCGCGCCUAACACAUGCAAGUCGAACGGAGCUUAGAGAGCUUGCUUUUUAAGCUUAGUGGCGAACGGGUGAGUAACGCGUGAGUAACCUGCCCUAGAGUGGGGGACAACAGUUGGAAACGACUGCUAAUACCGCAUAAGCCCACGGUACCGCAUGGUACUGAGGGAAAAGGAUUUAUUCGCUUUAGGAUGGACUCGCGUCCAAUUAGCUAGUUGGUGAGGUAACGGCCCACCAAGGCGACGAUUGGUAGCCGGACUGAGAGGUUGAACGGCCACAUUGGGACUGAGACACGGCCCAGACUCCUACGGGAGGCAGCAGUGGGGGAUAUUGCACAAUGGGGGAAACCCUGAUGCAGCGACGCCGCGUGGAGGAAGAAGGUUUUCGGAUUGUAAACUCCUGUCGUUAGGGACGAUAAUGACGGUACCUAACAAGAAAGCACCGGCUAACUACGUGCCAGCAGCCGCGGUAAAACGUAGGGUGCAAGCGUUGUCCGGAAUUACUGGGUGUAAAGGGAGCGCAGGCGGGAAGACAAGUUGGAAGUGAAAACCAUGGGCUCAACCCAUGAAUUGCUUUCAAAACUGUUUUUCUUGAGUAGUGCAGAGGUAGAUGGAAUUCCCGGUGUAGCGGUGGAAUGCGUAGAUAUCGGGAGGAACACCAGUGGCGAAGGCGGUCUACUGGGCACCAACUGACGCUGAGGCUCGAAAGCAUGGGUAGCAAACAGGAUUAGAUACCCUGGUAGUCCAUGCCGUAAACGAUGAUUACUAGGUGUUGGAGGAUUGACCCCUUCAGUGCCGCAGUUAACACAAUAAGUAAUCCACCUGGGGAGUACGACCGCAAGGUUGAAACUCAAAGGAAUUGACGGGGGCCC